rnacentral:rRNA from 1 species
AUAUUGAUAAGCGGAGGAAAAGAAACUAACAAGGAUUCCCCUAGUAACGGCGAGUGAAGCGGGAAGAGCUCAAACUGAAAAUCGGGGUGCCAAGCGGUACUCCGAGUUGUGGUCUAGAGAUGGCAUGUCAGCUGUGACCCCGGUAUAAAUCUUUUGGAAUAAGGUAUCAUAGAGGGUGAGAAUCCCGUCUUUGACUGGGAGUUCGCAGCGUACGACAUGUUUUCUUAGAGUCGAGUUGUUUGGGAAUGCAGCUUAAAAUGGGUGGUAAAUUCCAUCUAAAGCUAAAUAUUGGCGAGAGACCGAUAGCGCACAAGUA